GAUGAAGAACGUAGCGAAAUGCGAUAAGUAAUGUGAAUUGCAGAAUUCAGUGAAUCAUCGAAUCUUUGAACGCACAUUGCGCCCCCUGGUAUUCCGGGGGGCAUGCCUGUCCGAGCGUCAUUACAACCCUCAAGCUCAGCUUGGUGUUGGGCCCCGCCGCCCCGGUGGGCCCUAAAGUCAGUGGCGGUGCCGUCCGGCUCCGAGCGUAGUAAUUCUUCUCGCUCUGGAGGUCCGGUCGUGUGCUCGCCAGCAACCCCCAAUUUUUUUCAGGUUGACCUCGGAUCAGGUAGGGAUACCCGCUGAACUUAAGCAUAUCAAUAAGCGGAGGA
rnacentral:misc_RNA from 1 species